rnacentral:rRNA from 1 species
UACGUAGGGGGCAAGCGUUGUCCGGAAUCAUUGGGCGUAAAGAGCGUGUAGGCGGCUCGAUAAGUCCGCUCUGAAAGCCCGGGGCUCAACCCCGGGAGGCGGGCGGAUACUGUCGAGCUAGAGUCCGGAAGAGGCGAGUGGAAUUCCUGGUGUAGCGGUGAAAUACGUAGAUAUCUGGAGGAACACCGGUGGCGAAGGCGGCUACCUGGCCCAACAUUGACACUGAGACCCGAAAGCGUGGGGAUCAAACAGG